CAGCAUGGUGGAGAUAUUUUCUAACAAGAUCCUUUAACCUCUCCCAUGUUUCAUAGAAUAUUUCUCCAUCUAAUUGAAAAAAAAUUAGGGAAGGCUUUUCUUAUUUG